ensembl:lncRNA
AAGACACAAGGAUGGCACCAGGGACAUCCUCAGCUCCUUCCCAGAAGCCCUGCUUGUAAUGCUCCAAUCAGCUUCCCACCGGGUUUCCACCACUCCAGCUAUGCUGAACUCAUCCCUGCACAAAAGCCAUUCCCUCUGUUUAUCAGCCAGGACCUACCUUUGGUGGAGGAGGAGAUGAAAGAGUUUCUCUCCCUUUCCUUCAGAGCUUUGAUUAAUUUUCUUCUCAGCACCUUCAUUAUGUGCUAAAUGAGUUUCCAUUUGUUCCCUCUUUGCACCUUUCCCUUUUGUUGUUUGUCU